rnacentral:rRNA from 1 species
AGAGUUUGAUCCUGGCUCAGAACGAACGCUGGCGGCAGGCCUAACACAUGCAAGUCGAGCGCUCUCUUCGGAGGGAGCGGCGGACGGGUGAGUAACGCGUGGGAAUAUGCCCUUUGGUACGGAACAACAGUUGGAAACGACUGCUAAUACCGUNUGUGCCCUACGGGGGAAAGAUUUAUCGCCAAAGGAUUAGCCCGCGUUGGAUUAGGUAGUUGGUGAGGUAACGGCUCACCAAGCCUACGAUCCAUAGCUGGUUUGAGAGGAUGAUCAGCCACACUGGGACUGAGACACGGCCCAUACUCCUACGGGAGGCAGCNGUGGGGANUCUUAAACAAUGGGGGCAACCCUGAUCUANCCAUGCCGCGUGAGUGAAGAAGCCUUANGGUCGNAAAGCUCUUUCAGCUGGGAAGAUAAUGACGGUCCAGCAAAAAAAGCCCCGGCUUACUUCCUGCCACAGCCGGGGUAAUACAAGGGCGAAUUCCANCCCUGNGGGGNCGUUU